CAGUAGCCGCGGUAAUACGUAGGGUGCGAGCGUUAAUCGGAAUUACUGGGCGUAAAGCGCGCGUAGGUGGUUCGCCAAGUUGGAUGUGAAAUCCCCGGGCUCAACCUGGGAACUGCAUCCAAAACUGGCGAGCUAGAGUAUGGUAGAGGGUGGUGGAAUUUCCUGUGUAGCGGUGAAAUGCGUAGAUAUAGGAAGGAACAUCAGUGGCGAAGGCGACCACCUGGACUGAUACUGACACUGAGGUGCGAAAGCGUGGGGAGCAAACAGGAUUAGAUACCCGCGUAGUCCCUGUCUCUUAUAC
rnacentral:rRNA from 1 species